rnacentral:rRNA from 1 species
GUAGUCUCGCACAGAUGCAUAUCAAUAAGCGGAGGAAAAGAAACUAACAAGGAUUCCCCUAGUAACGGCGAGUGAAGCGGGAAGAGCUCAAAUUUGAAAUCUUAAAGGGUUUCCCUUUACGAAUUGUAGUUUAAAGAAGUGUUUUCUGUUGAGGUUUUGGUAAAGUUCUUUGGAAUAGGACAUCAUAGAGGGUGAGAAUCCCGUAUUUGACCUUUACUUUCAACUUUGUGAUACACUUUCAAAGAGUCGGAUUGUUUGGGAAUGCAGUCCAAAAUGGGUGGUAAAUUUCAUCUAAAGCUAAAUAUUGGCGAGAGACCGAUAGCGAACAAGUACCGUGAGGGAAAGAUGAAAAGAACUUUGAAAAGAGAGUUAAACAGUACGUGAAAUUGUCAAAAGGGAAGCGUUUGACACCAGUGUUGUUUUUCUGAAAAUCAAUUAAAGAACUGUUUAUGCUAAGCUGUUUAGACUUUAUCAGCUAUCUGUUUAGUUUUGAGCUUUUCUUUAAUGCACUUUUCAGUUAACAAGUCAACAUCAAUUUCUUUUGCUGUAAAAAAGCUUGAGGAAGGUGGCUUGAGAUUCGUCUUAAGUGUUUAUAGCCUCUUGCCUAUGCAGUCGGAGAGAUUGAGGUCUGCAGCGUAGAUCCUUCGGGGCUAAAUGCAUUUGUGCUAAGUUAUAGCAUUUUAUAGACAACUUGUUGACUAUGAUUUGUCUUGUAGCUUACUCGCUUAUGUUAUUUUACCUACGCUUAGGAUGUUGAUCUGUAGUGCGUGCGC